rnacentral:rRNA from 1 species
AACCUGGUUGAUCCUGCCAGUAGUGUAUGCUUCUCCUAAAGACUAAGCCAUGCAUGCCUUCGAAUAAGAAGAAGCAACUUUCUCUGAAUCUGCGAACGGCUCCGCAAACCAGUUGUAAACCAUAGCGAGCAUACCUUCGGGGCCUUCGGGCUCAGUUGGUUAUAAGGAUAACCCUGGUAAUUCUGAGGCUAAUACUUGAACGUAAAACCUGGUCGACCGGUCAAACGGAAGGUUGGGGGACGUGCGAGGGUUACCGCAGAAGAGCUGGGAGUAGACGCACGUUCGGACCACCAUAAAAAACGGUGGCAAGCGGAACCACGCAAGUGGGGAAGCUUGCUUCUGGGUGGCUCUCGCUUUGUGCUUCUGACCUAUCAACUAGAUGGCAGUGUAACGGACAUGCUAUGGUUACAACGGGUACAGAGGAUAAGGGUUCGAUCCUGGAGAGUGGGCCUGAGAGAUUGCUCACACUUCUAAGGAAGGCAGCAGGCGCGCAACGUUCCCAUUGGGCAAUGCCCGAGGGCGUUAGGGGACAUAUGAAUGCCUGUCUUAUGAUGGGCAAUUCAAAUGG